rnacentral:tRNA from 1 species
GCCUGGGUGGCUCAGUCAAUUGAGCAUCUGACUUCAGCCCAGGUCAUGAUCCUGAGCUUUGUGGGUUUGAGCCCCACAUCAGGCU